rnacentral:rRNA from 1 species
AUUGAACGCUAGCGGCAUGCUUAACACAUGCAAGUCGAACGGUAGCAGACCUAGCUUGCUAGGUGCUGACGAGUGGCGGACGGGUGAGUAACGCGUAGGAAUUUACCUUGUAGUGGGGGAUAACUUGGGGAAACUCAAGCUAAUACCGCAUAAGCCCGCGAGGGGAAAGUGUGGGACCGAAAGGCCACAUGCUAUGAGAUGAGCCUGCGUCAGAUUAGCUAGUUGGUGGGGUAAAGGCCUACCAAGGCGAAGAUCUGUAGCUGGUCUGAGAGGACGACCAGCCACACUGGGACUGAGACACGGCCCAGACUCCUACGGGAGGCAGCAGUGGGGAAUAUUGGACAAUGGGCGAGAGCCUGAUCCAGCAAUGCCGCGUGUGUGAAGAAGGCCUGCGGGUUGUAAAGCACUUUCGUUGGGGAGGAAGGCGUCAUGGUUAAUAGUCAUGACGAUUGACGUUACCCAAAGAAGAAGCACCGGCUAACUCUGUGCCAGCCGCCGCCGUAAUAC